UCUGAAAGGAUUAAUUAAAAAAAAGAAAAAAAAACAUAAAUAGUCGUCAUCUCACACAGACAGUGGAUAGAAUACAAAAAGUUUGGUUAUGUAUACAAAGACUAUGGUUAACCUCACAAUAUGGAAUUUGUUUGUAAAGUUUUUGAUAUGGAUUUUAUUAAUAUCUUUAUAUUGUGAUGUGUUUUUAAACAAAUUAAUAUUAAAUUACCUAAAGUAUUAUGAA